rnacentral:lncRNA from 1 species
GUUAUAAAUGAAAAUGACGAAACUCCUGAACAUUUACCUACGAUAUAUACAGAAUUGAGUAACGUAAAAGUAAAAGAAAUCAGUUGUAAUCAAUCAUGUGCUUUAUUUUUAAGCACUACAGGGCAUAUGUACUCUUUUGGUAAAGGGUUAAGAGGAGAACUAGGUCAAGGAGAUUUAAUAGUUUAUAAUAUACACCCUUCGUUAAUUGAAUCAGUAAAAAAUAUAAAACAGAUUGCUUGUGGUUACCAUCAUUCACUUUGUUUAUCUAAAGACAAUGUACUGUAUGCUUGGGGACAUGGUAAUUAUAAUGGCCUAAAAUGUAACUAUGACAAAUUCGUACCAACUAAGUUAGAAAUAAUUCAUUACGGAGAUGUUAUUGAAACAACGCUAAAUGCUUUGUCUCAUAUAAUAACUGAUUAUGAUAAUCAUGAAAAAAAAAAAAAAGUAUGUACACAAAUAUAUGCAAAAUAUAAUCAAAGUAUAGCUGUGUGUGAUGAUAAUAGCUCAUUGUAUAUAUGGGGGGAAACAUAUAAUAAUUAUUUAAAAUAUAUUCCAACGUUUUUUUAUAAAUUUAAAUUUAACAAAAUAAAACAAAUAGCAAUGGGUAAAAAUUUUGCUAUUAUUUUAUUAAUCAAUGGAGAAGUAUAUGGGUGGGGAGACGGGACAUAUGGGGAGUUAUGUAAACGCUCAUUUGAUGAUGAGGGUGGUUGCUAUUUUAUUUAUCCUGAACAAUUAAUACUAAGAGACGCUAAUAAUAAAAAAUUACCAAAUGUCAAUAAAAUAAGUGCAGGAGCUAGACAUGUUUUAUUAAUUACUGAAGAUGAACAUGUUUGGUCUUUUGGUGAUAAAAUAUCAGGACAGUGUGGAAUAGCAGGUUUUCAAAACAUUGUUACUACACCAAAAUUUGUAGAAUUAAAUGAAAAUAACCAAAAAGCAAAAAAAGUAUUUUGUGGCGAAAAACACUCAGCUUGUAUAAACAAAUUUAAUCAAUUAUACAUGUGGGGACAUUCAGCACAUCAUAAAUUAAUUUUUACAGCUAGCUCUGAUUAUUUAUUAAACCAAAGUCUGCAACCUGGUAUUUCUAUUCAAUCUGGGCUAAAACAAAAAUUUAAUAAAGCUACUUUAAUUUAUUCUAUGCUACAUCAAAAAGUCACUAAUGCAUAUUUGGGGGAUGAUUUUACUAUUGUUGUUGUUAGUGGUGAGGUAUGUGAAACACGCAAUCAAAGUGACCAAUACUCAGAUAAGACAUUUUAUUCGGUUCAGGAAGAAAGUGCUUAUAUUUCUACUUAAAAACCAUAUAAAAUGGUUACCGUAAUCUUUUUUUUAUGAAUGCAUUUUUUUUUUUUUUUCAUGUUUUAAUAAUCAUAAAAACGCAUAAAAAAAAAGUAUGUUUUUUUUUCCU